rnacentral:rRNA from 1 species
AAACAUUGCCACUAGAGCUUUUAUUGGUGGUCAAUUCUGCCCAGUGAAAUUUAUAUUAACGGCCGCGGUAUUUUUGACCGCGCUAAGGUAGCACAAUAAUGAGCCCUCUAAUUAGGGGAUAGAAUGAAUGAUUUAACGAAAAAUAUGCUGUCUCUUUUAUAAAAAUUGAAACUUGUUUUUGGGUGAAAAACCCCAAAUGCCUUACAAAGACAAAAAGACCCUAUAAGCUUUAUUUUAAUAUAAUAUAAAUUUUAAAAAUAUUUAAUUGGGGCGAUCUUAAGUAAAAAACAUUUAUAAUAUAUAAGGUUUAUAAUCCUUUAAAUAUAUCUCAAAACACACAAGUAAGUUACUGUAGGGAUAACAGGCCAAUUCUUUUUAAGAGAACAUAUCGACAAAAGAGCUUAGCACCUCGAUGUUGGCUUAGGAUUCCUUAAUCACGCAAAAGUAAUAUAAGGGGGUUUGUUCAACCUUUAAUUUCCUACAUGAUCUGA